UUAGACGCGGUGGAAGAUUAACGGAUAAAAGCUACUCUAGGGAUAACAGGCUAGUUCCGCCCAAGAGUUCAUAUCGACGGCGGAGUUCGGCACCUCGAUUAACACCGAAUGUCGAGGAGAGAGUACGAACAGUACUCUC
rnacentral:ncRNA from 1 species